CGCGCAGGCGGUUGGUCAAGUCCGGCGUGAAAUCUCCUGGCUCAACUGGGAGAGGUCGUUGGAAACUGAUCGGCUUGAGGCGAUGAGAGGGGUACGGAAUUCCAGGUGUAGUGGUGGAAUGCGUAGAUAUCUGGAGGAACACCAGUGGCGAAAGCGGUACCCUGGCAUUUGCCUGACGCUCAUGUGCGAAAGCGUGGGGAGCGAACG
rnacentral:rRNA from 1 species